rnacentral:sRNA from 1 species
GCUGGGUGCAGUGGCGUACAUCUGUAAUCCCAGAAGCUCAGGAAACUGAGGCAGGAGGAUCACAAGUUCAAAGCCAGCCUCAGCAACAGUGAGGUGCUAAGCAACUCAGUGAGACCUUGUGUUUCAGUGACCAAGUGCCCCGGAGUUCAGUCCCUAGUACCCUCUUCCCAGCCAAAAAAAAAAAAAGUCUCAACAAGUUGCUGAGGACCUCACUGAGUUGCUGAGUCUGGCCUCAAACUUGUGAUCCUCCUGCCUCAA